rnacentral:rRNA from 1 species
GUGGGGAAUCUUGCGCAAUGGGCGAAAGCCUGACGCAGCCAUGCCGCGUGAAUGAUGAAGGUCUUAGGAUUGUAAAAUUCUUUCACCGGGGACGAUAAUGACGGUACCCGGAGAAGAAGCCCCGGCUAACUUCGUGCCAGCAGCCGCGGUAAUACGAAGGGGGCUAGCGUUGCUCGGAAUUACUGGGCGUAAAGGGCGCGUAGGCGGACAGUUUAGUCAGAGGUGAAAGCCCAGGGCUCAACCUUGGAAUUGCCUUUGAUACUUGCUGUCUUGAGUACGGGAGAGGUGAGUGGAACUCCGAGUGUAGAGGUGAAAUUCGUAGAUAUUCGGAAGAACACCAGUGGCGAAGGCGACUCACUGGCCCGUUACUGACGCUGAGGCGCGAAAGCGUGGGGAGCAAACAGGAUUAGAUACCCGAGUAGUCC